rnacentral:rRNA from 1 species
GAUGAACGCUGGCGGCGUGCCUAAUACAUGCAAGUCGAGCGAACAGAUGAGGAGCUUGCUCCUCUGACGUUAGCGGCGGACGGGUGAGUAACACGUGGAUAACCUACCUAUAAGACUGGGAUAACUUCGGGAAACCGGAGCUAAUACCGGAUAAUAUAUUGAACCGCAUGGUUCAAUAGUGAAAGACGGUUUUGCUGUCACUUAUAGAUGGAUCCGCGCCGCAUUAGCUAGUUGGUAAGGUAACGGCUUACCAAGGCAACGAUGCGUAGCCGACCUGAGAGGGUGACCGGCCACACUGGAACUGAGACACGGUCCAGACUCCUACGGGAGGCAGCAAUAGGGAAUCUUCCGCAAUGGGCGAAAGCCUGACGGAGCAACGCCGCGUGAGUGAUGAAGGUCUUCGGAUCGUAAAACUCUGUUAUUAGGGAAGAACAAAUGUGUAAGUAACUAUGCACGUCUUGACGGUACCUAAUCAGAAAGCCACGGCUAACUACGUG